AAGAAAACCAAGUAAUGUGGCCACAACCAGAUAGAGGAAGGGUUACUGCAGUACCCAAAUACCUAAAUUAAAAAAAUCUAAUAACUCUGCACUCUAUGGCUCAAACAGGGUCAAAUCCCCAAAAAAACAAAAUAAAUAAACCAUUGCAGCACAACUAGAUGCCAAAUGCGCACAGGGAGUUUCACUGCCUUGGUUUCCGUAUAUUCUGUUAAG